AAAGCCCCUAGAGACAUUGCAGGUGUGGCUGCUGUAUCAUAUGUACAUCAGUAGGUGGCAGGGUGGAAAGAGACUGUCCUCAGUGUGCUGACCUGUGAACAUCUGAAUGAUUAGUACCCUAAUACU